GCCCCUUCCAUUUAACAAAGUACUCCACAUGCUUUGGUUGUCUUGGUCGCACCACGACACGCUUGGCUUCAAUGCUCUCCACUUCUUUGUCAAAUGCCUUCGUCAUCAAAGGGGGUGCUCGAUGAGACUCACCUCGACUUGGUUCCUCAUUGUCUGCAUGAUAAGGCUUCAAGUUGCUUACAUGGAACACCGGGUGAAACUUGAGGCGGGGUGGGAGUUCCAC
rnacentral:lncRNA from 1 species